rnacentral:rRNA from 1 species
UACGUAGGGUCCGAGCGUUGUCCGGAUUUAUUGGGCGUAAAGAGCUCGUAGGCGGUUCCGUAAGUCAGAUGUGAAAACUCAGGGCUCAACCCGGAGACGCCAUCUGAUACUGCGGUGACUGGAGUCUGGUAGGGGAACACGGAAUUCCUGGUGUAGCGGUGAAAUACGUAGAGAUUGGGAAGAACACCAGUGGCGAAGGCGGCUAUCUGGACGGUUUCUGACGCUAAGACGCGAAAGCGUGGGGAGCAAACAGG